GCAGUGUUAGUUCAGCGGUGAAAUUCUUGCCUUCCAACCUGGAAACCUGGGUUUGAUUCCCAGUCAAUGUG
rnacentral:tRNA from 1 species